GCUGCGUUCAGGAUCAUCCAAUUUUGUGAAGGGUUUCCUAACAAGCUGAGCUGCGUUCAGAAUCAUCCAAAGAUCUGGAGGGUUUCCUAACAAGCUGAGCUGCGUUCAGGAUCAUCCAAUGUUGUGAAGGGUUUCCUAACAAGCUGAGCUGCAUUCAGGAUCAUCCAAUGUUCUGAAGGGUUUCCUAAUAAGCUGAGCUGCGUUCAGAAUCAUCCAAUGAUCUGGAGGGUUUCCUAACAAGCUGAGCUGCGUUCAGGAUCAUCCAAAGUUGUGAAAGAUAUCCUAACUAGCAGUUGUGCAACGUCUCCUGAUUCCACUCACAGUGAGAUAAGGGUUCAGGCCGCAGACUCCACCCCCCUGGGGGUCCGUCACACUGUCUCCAUGACAAUAACCACAGAGCCCUCCUCCGCCAAGGGGACGCCUCCGUGGGCAGGGCUACAAAGUGUCAGUCCCUCCACUGACCCCUGACCUCUAACAGGACAGUCUAGGCUGUCAUGUAGCUCACUCACCCCCUCCUCUCCUCCAUCCCCUUCUCCUCCUCUCUUCACUCCACCCGCCUCCUCCCUUUCUCCCUCCCUCUCCUCCUCCUCCUCCUCUUCCUCCUCUGGCUCCACUUGACAGCGACACACUUCAAUGCCCGAGUCCCCAGUUAAACGACGGUGGCGGUACUGGCUCUCGUCUGCACUCACCUCCUCCUCCUCCUCUUCAUCACUCCUCCAAGUAUGGGGGCCAGGCUGGUACACAUCCACACAAGGGAGAAGAGUGUCUGCUUUGGGGGCGACUGGGUGGGCCUGGGGGAGACAGGAGGAGGAGAGGAGGAGGAGGAUGAAGGAGAGCAGUUGGAGGAGGAAGGAGGAAAUGAGAGAGGAUGAGUAGGGGUGGAGGAGACAUGAGGAGGAUUAGGAGGGGAGGAGACAGGAGAAGAGGAGGGGGAGGAGAGAGGUGGAAAGGAGGGGGAUGACAGAGGAGGAGAGGAUGGGGAGAUCACAGCUGAGUCUAGAACUCUAGAAGAGACUGGAGCUGGAGAGGUCAGGGUCAUGGUCGGGGUUACAGGGGUCACAGUGGGGGCAGAGAUAGGGUCUGUAGUAACACCAGAGUCCAGGGAAGAGUGUGGGGUUGAUACUGAGACAGGCUCUGUCGUUACUCCAGAGUGUGGAGUUGAAACAGGGUCUGUAGUUAUUCCAGAGUGUGGGGUUGAAACUGGGUCUGUAGUUAUUCCAGAGUGUGGGUUGAGACCGGGACAGGGUCUGUAGUUAUUCCAGAGUGUGGGGUUGAGACCGGGACAGGGUCUGUAGUUAUUCCAGAGUGUGGAGUUGAGACCGGGACAGGGUCUGUCGUUAUUCCAGAGUGUGGGGUUGAGACCGGGACAGGGUCUGUAGUUAUUCCAGAGUGUGGGGUUGAGACCGGGACAGGGUCUGUAGUUAUUCCAGAGUGUGGGGUUGAGACCGGGACAGGGUCUGUCGUUAUUCCAGAGUGUGGGGUUGAAACAGGGUCUGUAGUUAUUCCAGAGUGUGGGGUUGAGACUGAGACAGGCUCUGUCGUUAAUCCAGGGUGUGGGGUUGAAACACGGUCUGUAGUUAUUCCAGAGUGUGGGGUUGAGACUGAGACAGGCUCUGUCGUUAAUCCAGGGUGUGGGGUUGAAACAGGGUCUGUAGUUAUUCCAGAGUCCAGGACAGAAUAUGGGGUUGGGAAAGAGUCUGUAGUUAUUCCAGAGUGUGUGGUUGAGACAGGGUCUGUUAUUCCAGAGUCCAGGACAGAGUGUGAGGUUGACACAGAGACAGGGCCUGUAGUAAGGAGUUUGUUGUGACCAGGGCUGACAGUCCCAGCAAUAGGAGAUUCUGUUGGUGUGGCAACUAAAGGAUGUUCUGUAGGUGUGGCAACAAGAGGAUGUUCUGUUGGCGUGGGAACAAUAGGCUGUUCUGUUGACGUGCCAACUAGAGGACUUUCUGUUGGUGUGGCAACUAGAGGCUGUUCUGUGAGCAUGGGAGUAGUUGGAGAAGCUACACCACUGGCCUCAGUCUCCACAGUAACGGUUUCCAUGGAAGCAUCCAGAAUGUAGUCCACCAGUACAGAGUCAGGAGACUGUCCGGGGCUGACGUCCUCAGAGAUUACCGUGGCAACAAUCAAUGCCUCAGCAACAACAGCUGUCCUACUGCUGUUAGCACCUUCUGCACCUGUCUCUGAAGUUACUGUGACAACCGUCUCUGGCGUUUCUGUGACAACUGUCUCCAUCACAACAGUGGCAGUUGCAUACUCGGACAACAUUGUGGGUGGAGCGUCACUGGGGGUGGAGGCACGGCUGGUGUCCGUCUCGUAGGUCACGGGGGCGGAGAGGGAAGAGCUACAGGGGGAGGAGGGGCAGCAGGACUCACAGGAGCAGCUGGAGCUGUGGGUCAGAGGUCAGAGGUCAGGAACAUCACAGCGUCAUUAACACAGCUUCACAGCUUCAAUCAGAGUCAUCAUUUCAGGGGGGGCGCCUUAACGAAGGAUCAGCUAGCUGGGGCUCCUACCUG
ensembl:lncRNA